rnacentral:rRNA from 1 species
UAAGACGAAGGAUGCAAGCGUUAUCCGGAUUCAUUGGGUUUAAAGGGAGCGUAGGUGGCCUUGUAAGUCAGUGGUGAAAUCCUGUCGCUUAACGAUAGAAUUGCCAUUGAUACUGCAGGGCUUGAGUACAGUUGCCGUUGGCGGAAUAUGACAUGUAGUGGUGAAAUACAUAGAUAUGUCAUAGAACACCGAUUGCGAAGGCAGCUGACGAAACUGUAACUGACACUGAGGCUCGAAAGUGUGGGGAUCAAACAGGA